UACGGAGGGUGCAAGCGUUGUUCGGAUUUAUUGGGCGUAAAGGGCGUGUAGGCGGUUCGUUAAGUCUGAUGUGAAAGCCCCGGGCUCAACCCGGGAAGUGCAUUGGAAACUGGCGAACUUGAGUACGGGAGAGGGCAGUGGAAUUCCUAGUGUAGGAGUGAAAUCCGUAGAUAUUAGGAGGAACACCGGUGGCGAAGGUGGCUGCCUGGACCGACACUGACGCUGAGGCGCGAAAGCGUGGGGAGCAAACAGG
rnacentral:rRNA from 1 species